GUGAAGGAGGCCCUGCCUGGUGAAGGACGUCUGUCGUGGGACCAGGACUCUGGCUGAGGAGAGCUGAUGGAGGAGCUGACACGCUGGAGGACGACUAGGAAUCGACCAACAAGGAUUCCUCAACGUGUUUCUGGAGCGGAGGCGAGCUGGUAGGGGAGCCGUGAAUCUGGAGGAUGACCAUCACUCUACCAACAAGGAUUACGUUGGGGCCAGACUCACGCUGUUUGUUCCAGACCAGGACUCUGGCUGAGGUGAGCUGAUGGAGGAGUUGAGACGCUGGAGGACGACUAGGAAUCGACCAACAAGGAUUCCUCGUAAGUUUGCAUUUACUUACAUGGUUGACUUAAAGGGCAAAAUACAGCUGUUACUUUGACAUGCGUUAACCAACUACCGCUGUGUUUUCUUACUAGAACGUGUUUCUGGAGCGGAGGUGAGCUGGUAGGGGAGCCGUGAAUCUGGAGGAUGACCAUCACUCUACCAACAAGGAUUGUAAGUUUGUAUUAACCAAACAACAAAGUGGAAAUGAAGGGCUUAAAAAUAAGACAAACUACAUAUUUGUUACCAGACGUUACUACAGCUGCUAAUUUGUUACGCGCCAUAAGAGCCCAACUACUCCUGUGUUUGUGACCUUACAUUAGAGCCCAACUACUACUUUGUUUGUUACCUGAUA